UCUCCGGUUUUACAAAAGUUUUAUUGAAUCAUAAUAAAAGCAAUGACCGACGUUUCAGUCCCAGCUCGGGACUUUCCUCAGGGUCCAACAAAACAGAAUAGGUUAUUCUGUUUUGUUGGACCCUGAUGAAAGUCCCGAGCUGGGACUGAAACGUCGGUCAUUGCUUUUAUUAUGAUUCAAUAAAACUUUUGUAAAACCGGAGAG
rnacentral:miRNA from 1 species